GGAGCGAGUGCCUUGGUGAAUGACAACAGAGAGACGGUUUAGCCCAAGUUAGAGAGUUUAGCAGUGAAUGUACAGUUUAGGUCACAGUUGUUGGCAAAUAAAGGCUGUCACAGUUAAAGGACAAAGCGGAGCCUUCGUGUGAGUUGUUCACUAACUGCUGCAGAGAAAGUAAAGGGGGUCAGCCCCAAAAAUCUCCCCUGUGCUUCCCAACUACGGUCUGGGAGUAGAACAGUACUUUGGAGCACAACCAACUUUACCUGCCCCUAAUGUUUCGAGUGUCAGUGAAACAUGAUGAUGAUGAUACAGCAGGUUUAUCCACUGCACAAGUGACUGAAAGUGAGGAGCAGUUACAAGCACUUAAAUUUACUGAUACAUCAGUUUCAACCUCAGCCAGCAUGAUAGGUCCUUCUACAUCUGCACCCACUGCUAUAGAUUUCCCAUCCACUCCCUCAACAAGCUCCAGCUAUCAAGAUAGAUCAACAGCUCCUCCAAUUAACUCAAUUGAAUGGUCAGCAUUCCUGUCAAACUCAGAAAGGACUGAUCUGGUAAGAAGAGGGCCAAUGCCAAUAAGUGACACCUUUACCUUCUCCAAGAAAUCAGAUGGACGAAGCUUUCACUACCACUAUACAUACAGACAAUUAAUUAAUGGGGAAAAAAUCAAGCGAAGCUGGCUAAUUUAUUCAAAGAAAAAUCAUGCGGUUUACUGCUUUUGUUGCAAAUUAUUCUCGAGAAAGUCUACAAAACUGUCAACAGGGGGACAGCGUGAUUGGGUAAAUGUAGGUGCUUUGCUGAAACAACAUGAGAAUAGUCAAGAUCAUUGCAAUAAUAUGGUGAAGUAGAAAGACUUUGCCCUCCGUCUUUCUAAGCAGAAGACUAUUGAUGCAACAGAAAUGACCAUUUUGGAGACAAAAAGAAAUCGUUGGAGAAAUGUUCUCAUCUGUUUGAUUAGUAUCAUUCAGUCCUUGGCAGAGAGGAAUCUUGCACUCAGGGGGUCGGGUCUGUCGAUACUUUGCAUCAGGCCAACAAUGGGAACUUCCUUAAAGAGGUGGAACUGAUGGCAAAAUUUGACACGGUGUUAAAAGAUCACAUCAGACGAAUUGAUAGUGAAAUGCAGCACAACACGUACCUAAGUAAGAGAAUCCAGAAUGAGCUGAUAGAGUCAGUGACAAAAUAAUUGAGGUAAUGGUGGCAGAAAUCAAGGACUGCAAAUAAUAUUUGUUUUGCCAGAAACCUGUUUGAUUAUGAUUAUUAAUUCUAAUUUGCUAUUAUAAUUUUAACAAUAGGUCAUUCAAACUCAAAUCG